GGGGGAUUAGCUCAGCUGGUUCAGAGCAUCUGCCUUACAAGCAGAGGGUCGGCGGUUCGAACCCGUCAUCCCCCA
rnacentral:tRNA from 5 species